AACGAACGCUGGCGGCGUGCCUGACACAUGCAAGUCGAACGAGAAAGGGGCUUCGGCUCCGGGUAAAGUGGCGCACGGGUGAGUAACACGUGGGUAACCUGCCUCUAAGAUUGGGAUAACUCGUCGAAAGAUGAGCUAAUACCGGAUAAGACCACAGUUCCCGCGGGAACAGGGGUCAAAGGUAGCCUCUGCUUGCAAGCUAUCACUUAGAGAUGGGCCUGCGCACCACUAGCUAGUUGGUAGGGUAACGGCCUACCAAGGCAAAGAUGGUUAGCUGGUCUGAGAGGAUGAUCAGCCACACUGGAACUGAGACACGGUCCAGACUCCUACGGGAGGCAGCAGUGGCGAAUAUUGCGCAAUGGGCGAAAGCUUGACGCAGCAACGCCGCGUGAGUGAUGAAGGCCUUCGGGUCGUAAAGCUCUGUCGGGAGGAACGAAUGCUCCCAAGGUUAACAGCCUCGGGAGGUGACGGUACCUUCAAAGGAAGCACCGGCUAACUCUGUGCCAGCAGCCGCAGUAAAAC
rnacentral:rRNA from 1 species